rnacentral:rRNA from 1 species
UUAAAUUGAAGAGUUUGAUCAUGGCUCAGAUUGAACGCUGGCGGCAGGCCUAACACAUGCAAGUCGAACGGUAACAGGAAGCAGCUUGCUGCUUUGCUGACGAGUGGCGGACGGGUGAGUAAUGUCUGGGAAACUGCCUGAUGGAGGGGGAUAACUACUGGAAACGGUGGCUAAUACCGCAUGACGUCGCAAGACCAAAGAGGGGGACCUUCGGGCCUCUUGCCAUCAGAUGUGCCCAGAUGGGAUUAGCUUGUUGGUGAGGUAACGGCUCACCAAGGCGACGAUCCCUAGCUGGUCUGAGAGGAUGACCAGCCACACUGGAACUGAGACACGGUCCAGACUCCUACGGGAGGCAGCAGUGGGGAAUAUUGCACAAUGGGCGCAAGCCUGAUGCAGCCAUGCCGCGUGUAUGAAGAAGGCCUUCGGGUUGUAAAGUACUUUCAGCGGGGAGGAAGGUGUUGUGGUUAAUAACCACAGCAAUUGACGUUACCCGCAGAAGAAGCACCGGCUAACUCCGUGCCAGCAGCCGCGGUAAUACGGAGGGUGCAAGCGUUAAUCGGAAUUACUGGGCGUAAAGCGCACGCAGGCGGUCUGUCAAGUCGGAUGUGAAAUCCCCGGGCUCAACCUGGGAACUGCAUUCGAAACUGGCAGGCUUGAGUCUUGUAGAGGGGGGUGGAAUUCCAGGUGUAGCGGUGAAAUGCGUAGAGAUCUGGAGGAAUACCGGUGGCGAAGGCGGCCCCCUGGACAAAGACUGACGCUCAGGUGCGAAAGCGUGGGGAGCAAACAGGAUUAGAUACCCUGGUAGUCCACGCCGUAAACGAUGUCUACUUGGAGGUUGUGCCCUUGAGGCGUGGCUUCCGGAGCUAACGCGUUAAGUAGACCGCCUGGGGAGUACGGCCGCAAGGUUAAAACUCAAAUGAAUUGACGGGGGCCCGCACAAGCGGUGGAGCAUGUGGUUUAAUUCGAUGCAACGCGAAGAACCUUACCUGGUCUUGACAUCCACGGAAGUUUUCAGAGAUGAGAAUGUGCCUUCGGGAACCGUGAGACAGGUGCUGCAUGG